AUUGAACGCUGGCGGCAUGCCUUACACAUGCAAGUCGAACGGUAACGCGGGGCAACCUGGCGACGAGUGGCGAACGGGUGAGUAAUGCAUCGGAACGUACCCAGUAGUGGGGGAUAGCCCGGCGAAAGCCGGAUUAAUACCGCAUACGACCUAAGGGUGAAAGCGGGGGACCGUAAGGCCUUGCGCUAUUGGAGCGGCCGAUGUCAGAUUAGGUAGUUGGUGGGGUAAAGGCCUACCAAGCCUUCGAUCUGUAGCUGGUCUGAGAGGACGACCAGCCACACCGGGGACUGAGACACGGCCCAGACUCCUACGGGAGGCAGCAGUGGGGAAUUUUGGACAAUGGGGGCGAACCCUGAUCCAGCCAUGCCGCGUGAGUGAAGAAGGCCUCGG
rnacentral:rRNA from 1 species